rnacentral:misc_RNA from 1 species
GUGAAUCAUCGAAUCUUUGAACGCACCUUGCACCCUUUGGUAUUCCGAAGGGUAUGCCUGUUUGAGUGUCAUUAAAUUCUCAACUUCAAAGGUUACUUGUUAGCUUUUGAAGCUUGGACUUUGGAGGUUAUUGCAGGCAUUACACAAUGUCAGCUCCUCUUAAAUGCAUUAGCAGAACUUUCAAGGACAUGGCUUAUUGGUUUGAUAAUACAUAUCUAUGCCAUUACCAUGGACUUCAAUUUUGUUCAGCUUCUAAUGGUCUUAGGACUGUCUCUUAUGAGGCAUACACUUUAAGCUUGA